UUUACUAUUGGAGCGGUUAGUGGCGGACUGGUGAGUAACACGUAAGCAACCUGCCUAUCAGAGGGGAACAACAGUUAGAAAUGACUGCUAAUACCGCAUAUACCUUAGAAUCACAUGGUUCAAAAGGGAAAGGAGCAAUCUGCUGAUAGAUGGGCUUGCGUCUGAUUAGCUAGUUGGUGAGGUAAUGGCCCACCAAGGCGACGAUCGGUAGCCGGACUGAGAGGUUGAACGGCCACAUUGGGACUGAGACACGGCCCAGACUCC
rnacentral:rRNA from 1 species